AUUGAACGCUGGCGGCAUGCUUUACACAUGCAAGUCGAACGGUAACAGGGAGCUUGCUCCGCUGACGAGUGGCGAACGGGUGAGUAAUGCGUCGGAACGUGCCGAGUAGUGGGGGAUAACGCAGCGAAAGUUGUGCUAAUACCGCAUACGUACUGAGGUAGAAAGUGGGGGACCUUCGGGCCUCACGCUAUUCGAGCGGCCGACGUCUGAUUAGCUAGUAGGUGAGGUAAAGGCUCACCUAGGCGACGAUCAGUAGCGGGUCUGAGCGGAUGAUCCGCCACGCUGGGACUGAGACACGGCCCAGACUCCUACGGGAGGCAGCAGUGGGGAAUUUUGGACAAUGGGCGAGAGCCUGAUCCAGCCAUGCCGCGUGUCUGAAGAAGGCCUUCGGGUUGUAAAGGACUUUUGUCGGGGAGGAAAUCCCCAGCGCUAAUACCGCUGGGGGAUGACAGUACCUGAAGAAUAAGCACCGGCUAACUACGUGUCAGCAGCCGCCGCAGUAA
rnacentral:rRNA from 1 species